GAUGAACGCUGGCGGCGUGCCUAAUACAUGCAAGUCGAGCGAACAGACGAGGAGCUUGCUCCUCUGACGUUAGCGGCGGACGGGUGAGUAACACGUGGAUAACCUACCUAUAAGACUGGGAUAACUUCGGGAAACCGGAGCUAAUACCGGAUAAUAUAUUGAACCGCAUGGUUCAAUAGUGAAAGACGGUUUUGCUGUCACUUAUAGAUGGAUCCGCGCCGCAUUAGCUAGUUGGUAAGGUAACGGCUUACCAAGGCAACGAUGCGUAGCCGACCUGAGAGGGUGAUCGGCCACACUGGAACUGAGACACGGUCCAGACUCCUACGGGAGGCAGCAGUAGGGAAUCUUCCGCAAUGGGCGAAAGCCUGACGGAGCAACGCCGCGUGAGUGAUGAAGGUCUUCGGAUCGUAAAACUCUGUUAUUAGGGAAGAACAAAUGUGUAAGUAACUAUGCACGUCUUGACGGUACCUAAUCUGAAAGCCACGGCUAACUACGUG
rnacentral:rRNA from 1 species